UUGUUCCUUAUUAUUUCCAGGUAGCGUAGUAACUUGUUCCUAAUUUCCUUCAGGUAGCGUAGCAACUUAUUCCUAGUUUUC